rnacentral:rRNA from 1 species
GACGAACGCUGGCGGCGUGCUUAACACAUGCAAGUCGAACGCUGAAGCCUGGCUUUUGUUGGGUGGAUGAGUGGCGAACGGGUGAGUAACACGUGAGUAACCUGCCCCCUUCUUUGGGAUAACGCCCGGAAACGGGUGCUAAUACUGGAUAUUCACUGGUCUUCGCAUGGGGGUUGGUGGAAAGGGUUUUCUGGUGGGGGAUGGGCUCGCGGCCUAUCAGCUUGUUGGUGGGGUGAUGGCCUACCAAGGCUUUGACGGGUAGCCGGCCUGAGAGGGUGACCGGUCACAUUGGGACUGAGAUACGGCCCAGACUCCUACGGGAGGCAGCAGUGGGGAAUAUUGCACAAUGGGCGCAAGCCUGAUGCAGCGACGCCGCGUGAGGGAUGGAGGCCUUCGGGUUGUGAACCUCUUUCGCUCAUGGUCAAGCCGCAAACUGUGGGUUGUGGAGAGGGUAAGUGGAA